UGGGGAAUAUUGGACAAUGGGCGAAAGCCUGAUCCAGCCAUGCCGCGUGUGUGAAGAAGGUCUUCGGAUUGUAAAGCACUUUAAGUUGGGAGGAAGGGCAGUAAGUUAAUACCUUGCUGUUUUGACGUUACCAACAGAAUAAGCACCGGCUAACUUCGUGCCAGCAGCCGCGGUAAUACGAAGGGUGCAAGCGUUAAUCGGAAUUACUGGGCGUAAAGCGCGCGUAGGUGGUUCAGCAAGUUGGAGGUGAAAUCCCCGGGCUCAACCUGGGAACUGCCUCCAAAACUACUGAGCUAGAGUACGGUAGAGGGUAGUGGAAUUUCCUGUGUAGCGGUGAAAUGCGUAGAUAUAGGAAGGAACACCAGUGGCGAAGGCGACUACCUGGACUGAUACUGACACUGAGGUGCGAAAGCGUGGGGAGCAAACA
rnacentral:rRNA from 1 species